rnacentral:lncRNA from 1 species
AUGCCCCCGUGGUUGCCAGCUUCCUUCUGUAGUCUGUAUAUAGCCAUGCUGACCAGCUUGUGGCUGCUUAGCCUUUUUCUCCCUGCUUCCUGUGCCCAGUUAUUAGUCACCUGUGCCUAUAAGGGUCUCUGCCAGCAGGCCCUGCUCUCGAGCAAUGAUGUUGUCCUGCAGUGUGACCAUCUCCAGGCGUACUGGUACUUUUCUUCCUUUCAGGGGGAAGAUCCGUUUUUGGUCUCCUCACUGCCUAACAUAAAGAAACUGCCUGGGGGCAGCCUCCAACUGAACAAACCUCAGCCCUCCCAGACAGGCCUCUAUCGCUGUGAGGACAAUAACACAGCCCUUGUGGUAGAAUAUGAGAUAGACUUCCAAGAUGUCACCAUGCUACAUAUUACCCACAAAGGACUAGGCCAAAACCCUCUGCAGAAUCAGAGCCUGAGUCUGGGUAGAGAGGAGAUGGUCUUCACCCACUGGGAGCCCUGGCAGGACUGUAACCGCUGUGGGGUGCCAGGUGAACGCAAACGCCUGGGGUACUGCUACAUCCAAGAGUCCCUGGAAAACCCAAUGCCCUGCUGGCUCUAUCUGGGAGAUGAAAAGUUGUGGUCCAGCCGCUUGAGGCCUGAGAUGCAGGUGGAAGCCUGCCUUGUACCUUGCAACGAGAGCGAGGAGCUCAUCCAGCCCUUCUUCACCUCUGACAUUUCCAAGUUGGGCCAGUCAACCAACAACGUACAGCUCACCUGCCCCUUGGCCUCCAUCUACAGGAGUGAUGCCAGUAAUAGCUGCCUUCUUCAAAAGGAUUUAUGUCAGCAUGCCACAGCUCCAAGGAAAGUUGUAGUCAGUGCCCCUGACCCUGCAGCAGGCCACUGUCAACCUGCACCUCUGCCAGAGACUCCUGGACAUUCACAGGCAAGUCUGGCUCAGUCUCUUUUGGGGUCACUGCUCCUUUUUCUUGGGUCCUGGUGCACACAAGGUUUUGUUGUGCGCUCCAAGGGUCUGUUUCCCUGGGGAUUUUGAGUCCUUUUGCCAGAUCUCCAGGUUGGGAAAUAUGUUGUAGAGCCUAGAACUUUGGCAACAGUGUGAGAACUUCUUUGAUAUAAAUGUUCUCCGGUGUGUGGGUCGUCUGCUCGGUGGCUCUACAGGGGCACUGAUGGCAACCUCCUCCAAAAGGACUUAUGCCACACACCAUGCCUUCCAGGUCUGCUGCAGCCAGAGCCCCUGUCCCCGCGGCAGGUCACUGCUGACCCGUGCCUCAGCAAGAGACACUCAGACACUCAAUGGCAGGUCUGGCUCAGUCUCUCGUGGGGGUCACUGCUCCUUUCCCUCGGUCCUGCUAUGCACGAGGUUUUGUUUGUCUAACUCAAUGAAACUCUGAGCCAUGCCAUAUAGGGCCACCCAAGACAGAAGGGUCAUGGUGGAGAGUUCUGACAAAAUGUGGUCCAUUGGAGAAGGGAAUGGCAAACCACUUCAGCAUUCUUGCCUUGAGAACCCCAUGAACACUAUGAAAAGGCAAAAAGAUAUGACACUGAAAGAUGAACUCUCCAGGUCAGUAGGUGCCCAAUAUGCUACUGGAAAAGAGCGGAGAAAUAGCUCCAGAAGGAAUGAAGGGGCUGAGCCAAAGCAGGAACAAUGCCUAGUUGUGGAUGUGUCUAGUGAUGAAAAGUAAAAUCUGAUGCUAUAGGAACAGUAUUGCAUAAGAACCUGGAAUGUUAAGUCCAUGAACCAAGGUAAAUUAGAAGUGAUCAAACAGGAGAUGGCAAGAGUGAACACUGAUAUUUUAGAAACCAGUGAACUAAAAUGGACUGGAAUGGGUGAAUUUAAUUCAGAUGACCAUUAUAUCUACUACUGUGAGCAAGAAUUUCUUAGAAGAAAUGGAGUAGCCCUCAUAGUCAACAAAAGAGUCCAAAAUGCAGUACUUAGAUGCUGUCUCAAAAAUGACAGAAUGAUCUCUGUUUCCAAGGCAAACCAUCCAAUACUACAGUGAUCCAAGUCUAUGCCCCAACCACUAAUGCCAAAGAAGCUGAAGUUGAAUGGUUCUAUAAAGACCUACCAGACCUUCUAGAACUAAUACCCAAAAAAGAUGUCCUUUUCGUCAUAGGGACUGGAAUGCAAAAGUAGGAAGUCAAGAGAUACCCAGAGUGACAGGCAAGUUUGGCCUUGGAGUACAAAAUGAAGCAGGGUACAGGCUAACAGAGUUUUGCCAAAAGAAUGCUUUGGUCAUAGCAAACAUCCUCUUCCAAGAACACAAGCGACAACUCUACACAUGCACAUCACCAGAUGGUCAAUACCGAAAUCAGAUUGAUUAUAUUCUUUGCAGUCAAAGAUAGAGAACCUAUAUACAGUCAGAAAAACUAAGACUGGGAACUGACUGUGGCUCCGAUCAUGAACUCCUUAUUGUAAAAUUCAGACUUAAAUUGAAGAAAGUAGGAAAAACCACUAGGCCAUUAAGAUAUGACCUAAAUCAAGUCCCUUAUGAUUAUACAGUGGAAGUAACAAAUGGAUUCAAGGGAUUAGAUCUGAUAGACAGAGUGCCUGAAGAACUGUGGGCAGAAGUUUGUCACUUUGUGCAGGAGACAGUGGUCAAAACCACCCCCAAGAAAAAGAAACUCAAAAAGGCAAAAUGGUUGUCUGAGGAGGCCUUACAAAUAGAUGAAAAAAGAAAAGAAGCAAAAGACAAAGGAGAAAAGGAAAGACAUAUCCAUCUGGAUGCAGACUUCCAAAGAAUAGCAAGGAGAGAU